CACGUAGGGCGCAAGCGUUGUCCGGAAUUAUUGGGCGUAAAGCGCGCGUAGGCGGUUACUUAAGUCGGAUGUGAAAGCCCUCGGCUUAACUGAGGAAGUGCACCCGAAACUGAGUAGCUAGAGUACGAAAGAGGGUCGCGGAAUUCCCGGUGUAGAGGUGAAAUUCGUAGAUAUCGGGAGGAACACCGGUGGCGAAGGCGGCGACCUGGGUCGAGACUGACGCUGAGGCGCGAAAGCGUGGGGAGCAAACAGG
rnacentral:rRNA from 1 species